AGCGUUUUUGGGAUUUUUUUUGGGAGACUUUAUUUUAGAUUUUUUUUUUCUGCUCAGAUUGAACGCUGGCGGCAGGCCUAACACAUGCAAGUCGAGCGGUAGCACAGGGAGCUUGCUCCUGGGUGACGAGCGGCGGACGGGUGAGUAAUGUCUGGGAAACUGCCUGAUGGAGGGGGAUAACUACUGGAAACGGUAGCUAAUACCGCAUAAUGUCUACGGACCAAAGUGGGGGACCUUCGGGCCUCAUGCCAUCAGAUGUGCCCAGAUGGGAUUAGCUAGUAGGUGGGGUAAUGGCUCACCUAGGCGACGAUCCCUAGCUGGUCUGAGAGGAUGACCAGCCACACUGGAACUGAGACACGGUCCAGACUCCUACGGGAGGCAGCAGUGGGGAAUAUUGCACAAUGGGCGCAAGCCUGAUGCAGCCAUGCCGCGUGUGUGAAGAAGGCCUUCGGGUUGUAAAGCACUUUCAGCGAGGAGGAAGGGUUCAGUGUUAAUAGCACUGUGCAUUGACGUUACUCGCAGAAGAAGCACCGGCUAACUCCGUGCCAGCAGCCGCGGUAAUACGGAGGGUGCAAGCGUUAAUCGGAAUUACUGGGCGUAAAGCGCACGCAGGCGGUUUGUUAAGUCAGAUGUGAAAUCCCCGCGCUUAACGUGGGAACUGCAUUUGAAACUGGCAAGCUAGAGUCUUGUAGAGGGGGGUAGAAUUCCAGGUGUAGCGGUGAAAUGCGUAGAGAUCUGGAGGAAUACCGGUGGCGAAGGCGGCCCCCUGGACAAAGACUGACGCUCAGUGGAAACGCC
rnacentral:rRNA from 1 species